AACAAAAAGUCAUUAUUCUCUGUGUCUAUGUGAGCAGCGGGAGAAAGACUGAAAGAGGGAGAUUGGAAAAACCGUAAAGCCAAAACCCUAGGCUAGUGUUAUUGGCUCAAGUUUUAGAACUGGUUCAAUCUUCAAUUUUGGUAACACCCAACACGUGUAAUAGUGUUGGCCUACGGCUACAACUCAAAGUCAUUCUUGGUGGAGCUUGAAGGAAGCCUUUUCUCUAAAACUUCUGUUACAGGUUGAUGAUAUAUGAUGCCGAAUAAUCGUAAACCAAGCAAACGAGGAAGAUUAGAAGCAUAUUACAACCCUAUUCCCAGAGUAGAUAGAUCAGAAAGUGUUGCUCUUGCUCCAAAUAUUGAACUCAAUGAAGUAGUUGUUGAUGCAGUUGAACCCGAAGAAUUGCACACCCAAAGAACUGGAA